UCACCGAUGGAUAGCAAGUUUUGGGCAGA
rnacentral:piRNA from 1 species